UCCAACUCGACGGGAGAACGGAUUCGUCCGUGCCGAAGGAGCAACCGCCCCGGUAAACUCUCAGGCCCAAGGACCGACGAGUUGGA
rnacentral:ncRNA from 2 species